AGAGUUUGAUCCUGGCUCACGAUGAACGCUAGCUACAGGCUUAACACAUGCAAGUCGAGGGGAAACAACAUCAUAACCUGGUAUUGGAUAUGGGUACAGCGGCACAGGUGAGAAUAGCGUAUAUCCACUCCGCCCAACAGGUGGAAUAUACUCGCGAAAGUAUAACAAUAAUCCCCUGGGAUCCAUCUAAAGCAUCUCAGAUGGAGAUAAGGUAUCGACCGGUGAUGGAUGGGGAUGCGUCCGAUUAGCUUGACGGCGGGGUAACGGCCCACCGAGGCGACGAUCAGUAGGGGUUCUGAGAGGAAGGUCCCCCACAUUGGAACUGAGACACGGUCCAAACUCCUACGGGAGGCAGCAGUGAGGAAUAUUGGUCAAUGGACGAAAGUCUGAACCAGCCAAGUAGCGUGAAGGAUGACUGCCCUAUGGGUUGUAAACUGCUUUUAUGCGGGAAUAAAGUUCGUCACGUGAGACUUUUUGCAUGUACCUUAUGAAUAAGGACCGGCUAAUUCCGUGCCAGCAGCCGCGGUAAUACGGAAGGUCCAGGCGUUAUCCGGAUUCAUUGGGUUUAAAGGGAGCGUAGGCCGGAUAUUAAGCGUGUUGUGAAAUGUAGAGGCUCAACCUCUGCACUGCAGCGCGAACUGGAUGGCUUGAGUACACACAAAGUGGGCGGAAUUCAUGGUGUAGCGGUGAAAUGCUUAGAUAUCAUGAAGAAACUCCGAUUGCGAAGGCAGCUCACUGGGGGGCAACUAACGCUGAAGCUCGAAAGGUGCGGGUAUCGGACAGGAUUAGAUACCCUGGUAGUCCCCCCGGUAAACGAUGGAUGCCCCGCUGUUGCUCAGUACAGAUCCGCGCCCAGGCGAGGCGCAUAAACAUUCCCCCCUUGGGGGAGUACCCCGCGCACGCGGUGAGAUCUCAAAGGAAUACCGGGGGCCCCACACAACCGGAGGACACAUGUGGUUUAAUUGAGAGAUAUAGGGAGGGACCUAUACCCGCGUGUAUAUGCCAGAGGAGAUACCAGGAGUCGAGAGAGCCCCUUCGGGCUCUCUGAGAAGUUCUGCCAUGUUUGUUCACAGUUCGCCCCGAGAGGUCUGGGUUUAAGCCACAUAAGGGGCCACACCCUUUUCGUAAUUGCCCAUGAGGUCAUCCGGGCCAUUUUGGGAACAGUCCCCCCUUAAGGUGUAAGGAAGUUGAGAUGACGUCAAAUCAGCACGGCCCUUACGUCCGGGGCUACACACGUGUUACAAUGGCACAUACAGAGAGAUGCUGUUCGGCAAAGUCCAUCUAAUCAUCAAAGCGUCCCUCAGUUCAGACUGGGGUCUGCAACCCGACCCCACGAAGCUGGAUUCGCUAGUAAUCGCGCAUCAGCCAUGGCGCGGUGAAUACGUUCNCCGGGCCUUGUACACACCGCCCGUC
rnacentral:rRNA from 1 species